UACGUAGGGUGCGAGCGUUGUCCGGAAUUAUUGGGCGUAAAGAGCUCGUAGGCGGUCUGUCGCGUCGGCUGUGAAAACCCGGGGCUCAACCCCGGGCCUGCAGUCGAUACGGGCAGACUAGAGUGUGGUAGGGGAGACUGGAAUUCCUGGUGUAGCGGUGAAAUGCGCAGAUAUCAGGAGGAACACCGGUGGCGAAGGCGGAUCUCUGGGCCAGUACUGACACUGAGGAGCGAAAGCGUGGGUAGCAAACAGG
rnacentral:rRNA from 1 species